CAUAACAAGGCUGCAGAGGAAAGGUUUCUUUCUCCUCCGGCUGUGAUUUCUCUGGAAAGAGCUGACUGUAACAGCAGUAGAUAUAUAUUUUUAAAACAUUGUAUGUGCUGGUUUUAGUAGUGCAGAGCCUGUUCUAAACCUGCCUCUCUGGACCGUACUGUUCCCUUGUCCUGUGUUAAUUCCCUGGAACUACUUCAGAAUUAUUCCUUGUCAUUGACGCAGGGUUUGCACAACAGGCACGGGUGCUCAGGAAAGAGAGAGGUCGUGCCAGAACUAAUACAGAGAGGUGCUUCAUAAAACGUGGUGAGAAAAAGAUAUGAAAUCCUCCUCUGUGUCUAAUCUGCUGUGUCCGUCUGCUGUAGCAACUCCCUGUUUGCCAAGGCCACAGUAGUGUGACACCUGGUCGGUUGAAUUUUCCCUUACAAGUGAUGAGCUUGCAAAAAACUGCACUUUGAGGAAACAGUAUACAUCUGGCCAAUAACUGAAUUCCCUCAAAAGAAAAGGAACCGCCUCUGUGCUGCACCCUGUGUCUUUAUAUAUACUGUGGACUUAGGAUGAGUGUGGGCGCUUCUUCUCGACAUGAUCCAGUGAAUCUGGUGUGUCCGGCAGAACCCCAGAGACUCUCUAAUUCCAAGUCAUCUAUUUCCGAGGUCUGCAAUCAACACAAUUUUCAGACCUAAGUUCACAACUUGUCAAAAUUUAUUUAAUGAGAAUUGAACAUUGUGUCAAAUUGCACAAAACUCAGCAUCUCACUCUCUCGGGCUAUUAAAAAUACACAUGAUAAGUGUGAAUCUGAUGAACCAUUCGGAGAUAUACGUCACACAUGCAGACAGACAGACGUUUGUGGAAUAACUAAGUAGAUGGCAAUUCCAUAAACGAGAGACUUUUAGAUUUUGAGCUGACUUAUUGUGGCUCUGUUUAUGAAGUUAAUGUCCUUGUCACUUUGAAUGGAGCAGCUUCAGCGAGCACUACAUCAUUGAGAAAAAUAUGUAAAAUGCAGCAGCAUUACAGGGACAUGACAAAGUGAUGAAUGGUCUUUCUUCAGAAGAGCAUCUACUGAGGCAAAUCAUUUAUUCAUAUGAGAUACCUGUAAAAAAAAAAUUAUAUGAAUAACAAGAGAAGAAAAUUAUUUCCAAAACAUAUUAAGUUGAAGUUGGAAUAGUGCAUUCAAGAUCUAAUCUGCUUCAGCAAUGGAUAAAACAUUCAUUUUCAUAAAACAGUCGACUCCUCAAAUUCAUUCUGCACUUUUUUUUAUCACAGUAUAAACGGCUCAAUGCUGACUUUUCAGUCAGGCACACACUUGCCUGAAGCACUGAGGUUUCCUCCCUGUCAAUCAUGUGAUAAACCGCUUCAGUGGCGUCCAUGGAGAUUUUCUAAGUGGUUGUAUCUAUGACAAGCAGAUAAACCAUUUUCCAGUCACGGUUUAUUGGAAAUUGGGUUAUUAUAUCUGGCACUUUCAGGAGCACUUGAGUUAUAGUUAUUUUCAAUCCACAAUGUUGUAUUAGUUUCAUAGCUUUUAACUUAGUUACAGUUAUCAGCAGUGGUGGGAAGUGACUAAAUACAAAUAGAACAGAACUAAAGUACGUUUUUCAGGUUCCAUCACUAGAGUAUAUAUUUUUACUUGUACUACCUACAUUUUAACACAAAUAUCUUACAUUUUGAAAUGUCUACAUAACGAACACAUUUCCUCCUUGGCAGUUUUUCAUGCACAUCAUUGUUUUCUUGCUUUACCCUGUAUUACUUAAUUGUUUUUUGACUAAGUGUAGUUCAAGUUAAAUCCUACAAACUGUAUAAAUGUGACAUGAGUCUCAAUUUUUUUAUACUUUUGCUUGAGUAGAGAGGUUGAAUCAGCACUUUAUCAAGUAUCUGUACGUCUGUUUAAGUAAAGAAUGUGUGUACUUUUACCACCUCUGGUGAACGGUACACAAUCCAAGUUUCUCUGGUAUGCAUAUAAAAAUGUUACUUUUAUUUUCCUUCACAAAAAACAUUUGUUCUUUCCAAGAGAAAUGGACGAAUAAUUAUUUAGGUUGAAGUAAAUGUCGAAUCAGCUAGAUUGUUGGGAGGGUUACUUGAACUAGAAUGACACUCAGAGAGCACAUCUCCGCCAAGGCCCCACAGGCCUCUUAUGACACCAUAUUUGAAUUCACUAGAUCCUGACUCUUAUUUUUUCCAGAUAACUAAAAGACUGGCAGAGAGAAUAUUAAACAAAUUCAAUGGAGAAGAGAGGAUGAAAACACGAAAUUAAACCGGAUAAGGGAGACUCAAAGUUUGCUUGUGUGCAAACAUUGCAUUUGCCUACCUAACAAGAGCAAUUAAAAGCCCGCUCUAACUUCUAAAUGCUCAAUGCUGCUGAGAUCUCAGACUCCUUUAGGCCUUUGGCGAGGUGUUUCAGGACAUGAAAAGUAAAUAAAAAGGAACGGAACAUAUUUGUUAAUUAAUGUGGAUUCAGCUGAUGAGCCUGAGAACCUACAACACACAACCUUUUGGCAGCAAAGAAACGACAAGCUCCAAACUAGAUAACACAACUUCCCUCUGCUCCACUUCUAUAAACUGUAUGUGCUUUACAUCCUGAGGACUAUCACAUUCUGAGGAGGCAGGCUCUUGAGUGUCUAUCUAUGCUUGAGUCAACCUACUGCUGUUUCUAAAAGAAAAAAAAAUCUAUGAGCUUUGAGUAGCAUCAUCAUCAAUACCAUCUGACAUCAGACCUUUCGAAAAGCAGACGUGACAUGAGAGAAGUUCAUGUGAUGUAUUAGUUAAAUGAUAUUUAUGUCCCUCAUGGGAAGUUAUACAUUUGAAAUUGCCCUCAUUAUUUUUGCAUGUGCAUGAAAGCAAUGGUGCAUUUAUAUUUAGCCCUACUUUUAUUGGUUGCCUAAUUCGUAGCUUUGAAGCCAGAUGAUGGACAAAACAAUCUACAAAUACUUAUCUGUUUGUAAUUUUACAAGCUGUACUGUAUCAUGUCUCUCAUGACGUCAACAUUUUUGCAUUUUGAGGUUUUAUCCCACAGAUUAACCUCUUAACCUUUUUCCUAUUGCAAGGGAAACAAUUGAUGGAUUCAAUUUGUCAUAAGGUGUACCUUAUAGGUCCAGAGUCCAGAUACCGUGAAGAAUGAUCCUGAUCAUGUAAACUGGUUGGUUCUUUUCAUAAUCCCGCCAUUUUCAUCAGUAUUGUGUCAGAUGAACACCCACAGUUAUAAUCUGUAGCAUUUUCGAUCCACCUGCCUUCCCGUCUUGCUCCCCUCCUUCCUUUUACCCUGUUUUAAAAGUCUACAGCCUUGUCAGGCAACACACAAACCUCACAGGAGUGCAGAGUCUGUGCUAAUCAUUCCCUCUAUUCAUUCCCCUCCUCUCCCCCAGUUAUCUAAUAUCUAGCACUGGCACACAGGCUAAAAAUAUAUACCUGAAAAACUGAUGACUGACGGAUGAAAAACCAUCUGCUGCAUGUGAAGAUAGUUUGACUUGGGAACAAUUUGAGAUG